AGGCUUGUAGGUCAGGUGGUUAGAGCGCACCCCCGAUAAGGGUGAGGUAGGGGGUUCAAGUCCACUCAGGCAUACCA
rnacentral:tRNA from 1 species